rnacentral:rRNA from 1 species
AGCGAACGCUGGCGGCAUGCCUAACACAUGCAAGUCGAACGGCAGCAUCGUAAUAGCUUGCUCUUACGGGCGUCGAGUGGCGGACUGUUGAGGUAUACAUCGGAAUCCACUUUUUCGCGGCUGAUAACGUCGGGAAAUUAACGCUAAUCCCGCAUACGACGUACGAGUGUAAGCACGGGUUCUUCUGACCUUUCGCUAUUGUAUGAGCCAAGGUCGGAUUAGAUAGCUGGCGGGGUUAAGGCCCACCAAGGCGACGGUCCGUAUCUGGUAUGACAGGGUGAUCAGCCACACUGGAAGUGAGGCGCGGCCCAGACUCCUACGGGGGGCAGCGGUGGGGAAUAUUGGACGAGGGGCGCAAGCCUGAUCUAGCAAUACGGGGUGGGUGAAGAAGGACUUCGGGUUGUAGAGCGCUUUUGUUGGGAGAGAAGAACAGCAGGUUAAUACCCCGCUGUUCUGACGGUACCCAAAGAAUAAGCACCGGCUAACUUCGUG